ACCGGGCACAAUGGUGCACACCUGUAGUCCUAGCUACUCGUGAGGUUGAGGCAAGAGGAUCACCUGAGCCCAGGAGUUCUGGGUUAUAGUUUGCUGUGCUGAUCCGGCAUCCACAGUAAGUUCAGCAUCAAUGUGGUGACCUCCUGGGAGCAAGGGACCAGCAGAUUGCCUAGGAGGGGUGAACUAGUCCAGGUUAUAAAUGGAACAGGCCAGAACUCCCAUGCCAAUGGGUAGUGGGAUCACGCCUGUGAAUAGCCACUGCACUCUGGCCUGGGCAACAUAGUGAGACUCCAUCUCU
ensembl:misc_RNA Metazoa_SRP Metazoan signal recognition particle RNA